CUAAUAUAUAGAAAUACUGGUUUUUAUCUUGACCUUGUAUCCUGCAAUCUUCCUAAACUUAUUUGUUAAAUUUAAUAGCUAUUUUGUAAAUUCCUUAAAGUUUUAUACCUAUACCAUCGUGUCAUCUGCAAAUAAGGAUAGCUUUAUUUCUCCCUUUCCUAUUUGCAUGCCGUUUAUUUCCUUUGUCUAAUUGCACUGGAUAGGACCUUCAGUAAACAUUAACUAAAAGACAUCCUUGCCUUGUUCUUGACCUUAAGUAUUAUGUUAGCUGUAGGUUUUUCAUAGGGGCCCUUAAGUUGAAUAACUUUGCUUUUAUUACAAGUUUCUGAGAGUUUUUAUCAUGAAAUGAUUUCAUCCAAGGUUUUUUUACAUCUGUUGCAAUGACUCCAUGGUUUUUCUCCUCUACUCUUAUGAUAUUGUGAACUGCACUGAUUGAUUUUCAAGCACAUGUAAGUAAUUUCCCCUGAGCUGGAAAGUGAAGGAUAGAACGUAAGGACAUAACACAAUAAUUACAUUAAUAAUGGAAAAUGCAAACAUGUGUCCUAAUAUUACUUAUUUAAUACACUUUUUUUUUUUUUAAAUCAUCACAAAAAGAUCAAAUGCUACCUAUCUGGCUUAGUAUCAGUUGGGACAGGACCUACUCAAAGAGGAGAAAGUAAUGUUUUCCUUGUCUAAUUUAAAUUUUUGCAGGCUUAUUGAAAGUACUCAUUUCCAUUUGUUCUGACAGUACAUUAAAUAGUUGACAACUCAAUACGGCAUGUCAUUUUGUUUUUAUUUCAAGUCAUUUGCCUAAAAUUACUUUUUUUCUUUUUUUAAUUUAGAAACAGAGCUUGUCUUCAGGUAACUUGUUUGUACCUGAUUAUGUAGGAAAACUGAAUGCCCAGCUAAAAGUUUUACUAGUGGUUCGGUCUUCUUUAUAAUAAAAACAAAAAUAUUUCUGUGAUUAAAUUUAACUAGUAUUGGGCUACCGCCUGAUGCUUUUGAUUCUAUAAAGUUUAAUUUCAUUCUAGGGAGAAAACAUUUCGGUGAUUAGGGGCAGGACUAAGCACCCAUCCCCACAAAAAACUGCACAUAAAAUGAAACAAUUCAUCAUGCAAAAAAAUAGCCUCCAAAAUAUACAGUUUCCUGAAAGGUAAAUUAUAAAAGUAUGCAUUUACCCAAUCAUUUUAAAUACCAUAAUUAUACAAGCUGCUCAUCAAAAGACUUUUAAGACUCAUUAAAAUCAUAAAACAAUUCUAAUUAAAUCCAUAUUUAAGUUCGUAUAACCUACAUGGUACUUUAAAUCAAACAAGAAAAGUUAUAUAAAAGAUCCAAUUAAUUGUAAGUUUUUGUAAGAAUUAAAGCCUAAUUACUCUAUGAUUAAGUUUCUCCAAAAUGUGAUCAUCAAUGGCUCUAUUCAGAAGAAUUAGCCUUCUGUACCCCAGAUGCCAGCCAAUGCUGCAGCCCAUCUUUGACACCAGCAAACUUACUCGUCUGAAAUCAGCACGACUGGGGAAACUUUACCUCCACCCCCAAGGGGGAUCCAAGUGGCAAGACCAAACAGAGCCACAUAUUUUAUACAGAUAAAUGUCUCCCUAUCUGCAGAGGUCCUUAUCUGAUUAAAUGGAUUUGUAUUCAUUAGCAAAUUAAAAAAAAAAAAAUCCAUCCUCAGAGCAAGUUUUGGAAACAAUGGUCAUUUCAGAGAUUCCCAAGUUGGUGGUUAAAGAUGCAUGAGAAAACAGUAAGAUUUGCAGCUUAAGGAGAAAGAGAACUAGGCCUUUAAAGGGGACAGCACUAAAACAUUUCCUUCUAACCAUGCAACUCUUCUUUCUUACUUAGCUACUUGAAAUGUUUUUCAUUUUUAUUAGCCCAACUUCCCACGGGAAAGAAAAUAAAAAAGCUCUGUGACAUCGCCGCCUCUUGUGUGUUCUCUGAAACUAAUUAACCCUAUGAAGUUAUUAGGGCAGCAUCAUUUUUUUCUAUGACAUCACACAAGGUGAAGGUCACUUCUAUAAUAUUCCUGCCUUCAUUCAUGUGGUGCUUACCCCACAAAAUAUAAUUUAUUGUAAUUUCCCCAGUGCCCUCAUAGCCAAGUGAUUAGUUAUUAUGGUACAUAAAAAGUUCAGACGUACAACAUAUGACUUAUAGCCUCUAUUUCUGAUAAUCUAAUUUUCUUUUAUGGUAAAAAGAAAUUUACUAUUUAUGUUUUAUAGAUUGUUAUUUUGAGAAAACGACUAUUUAAAGUUAUCUUCAUAUGGACACUUGCUGAUUGCACAGCAUCUGCAAGCUGAAACAUCCAAAUGGUUGAGAUAUAAAGGCAGUUCUUUAUCCAGUUGACAAGAACUUUUUCUGAACUACCCUUGUCUGUGCAAGUGGCAGAAUGGUUAAAUUAGGCUGGAGCUACCUUCCAUCUACUCCCCAGACAUCAGAGCAAGAAAUGGUGGUUCUAGGCAGAUACAGCUGAGUUCAGGUUCCUUCUGCAGCGAGAUUUCCUUCCUGUCAGGAUGUGGCUGCAUUCUACCUAGUGAUUUUACUGAUGGAUAACUUAAAAUAGUGGGAGACGCUGUUGGAAAUCUGUGCCCUGCAGCCUGAUCACCAAUGGCCAUCACCUGCAUCUGUAUAAGAGGGCUGGCUUCAGGCUGCUGGAAUCUACUCUGCCAGUAUGGAACAGUCCAAAUAAAACAGAACCAGAGCUUGAACUCAUGACCACUGACCUCUGACCUGGAUGAAGUUACACAUCUCAUUCUACAUUUACCAUAUUAAACCAAUCCACAAAGAAAAAAACUUCCUAGAACAGUAUAUUAUCUCCUAUUUCUAUUCCUUGUCUUUCUGCUUCCUUCUAUAGAAACUCCUCUUCUUGAUCUGUCUUCCCCUGCUAUGUUCCCCACUAAUAGAGCACAUUUCCAUCACUCCUUGGAUCUACUACUUCCCACGACCUUAAGUUGUCAACUUCUUUGAAUUUUUAAAGAUCAUUCCUUUUAUUAAACUAUAGUAGCAUCUUCAUAAAAUGUAUUUUAACAAAGCAUGAUCUGUAAAACCUAAAAAAUGAAGACAGCAAGUGUUUGAGGCUAUGAGGGUGACUCAGAGAAUCCUUGGUCAAUACAAGGACAGGAGGCAGCAGUCAUUGGGUAAGGUGCCUUUCUUUUAAUAAAAUGCACUAGGGACUCAGUGCCCAUAGCCCUGUUCUCAGCAUGGCCAGGAGGAAGCGAGCAUUUACAUAGCUACUCAACACUGUAAGGCUACUGUCAGUUGCAUCUCUUGCAACUAAAAUAUGAAUGUAAGGAUUGUCAAAAUGGGGAGAGAUGUAGGUGAGGAAGAAGAGAAACAUCACAAGGGGAGCGUAUGUAGAUUAGAUGUCUUGCCCUGCUGUGCUACAUUUGCGGUACAUGAACACAGGAAGGGGAGGACACAUCUCUGUAUUGUUUGCAUGUGCUGGGCUUAAAAAAUGAAUAUUACUGUGCUUUUAAGGUAGAUUAUGCCAACGAUGUGGCUUAAGUAGUGAUUUCUGCCAAUGUCAGGGUCCUGGCUAGAGACAGGAGGAACGGGCUAUUAACACCUGCAAUGCCAAUGCUUUUUGUUUCUGGUUAGAGAGAAGCUCCUGCACCAGGAAACACACCAAAGCAGAUACCAAGGACUGGGGAGAAGGGUGUGGUUUCCCAAAUAGACGUGUAAAUAUGGCAAGAGUUGGUGCCUUUUUAUCUGAGAGUUGGUGCAAUAGAACCCAGUGACUCAGUCAAUCUGGGAAAGAGCCUCAAUGCUGUCAGUUAAGUCAUCAUUUCACAUGGAGCUUUGCUGCAAUUUUCACUGCAGUUUUUGUUUGUGAACUCAAUUAACUCGUAUGGAACAUUGCUCCAGCUGACUAGACGCAAAUGGUCCUGGUUAUCAUAUCGUAACUCCCACCUAACAGAAACUUGCUUUUUUUUUUUUUUAAUGUAAGUUCUAUGCCAAGUCACAUGCUCUUACCAACUGAGCCAUCCAGGCACUCCAAAAUGGUGACUCUUUACAAAAAAUAAAUAAAUUAACUCAAUGUGGGGCUCGAAUUCCCAACCUCAAGAUCAAGAGUUGCAUGCUCUACAAACCGAGCCAGCCAGGAACUGUUGCUUUUGAAUGUUCUGUCUCAGAGCCUGUUGUUCUGAGACAGUGGUCUUCAAUUCAGAGCAUCAUGGGUGGCAUUUGAGUAUCAUUCCUAAGAUAUUGGUACCACAGUUCUGUUUUCUUACAACUAUCCCUGUCUGUCCUCACCUGAACAAAGGCCCUAGUUUUAAUGAUGGCAUCCACAUGUACACACAGACAUAAAGGGUUCAUUAUUUCUAAUCGAAGAACAGAAACUUAGAGAAAUAAAGCAUUACCUGCCAUUUUCGUGAUCAACACUUGCAAUAGAGAGCAUAAAUGCUUCACUUUACAGAAAUAGCUAGACCUUCGUGAACCCUCCCAGUGAUUAAUUAGGAAGCCUGUCUUACAGAUUUUUCUCUCAGGUGUAGUAACCUUGUAGCCCUUACCAUUAAGAACUAAUAAAUAAAUGCUUGGUUAAGCAUAAACAGGGUGAUAGGCAGUGAAAGAAUGAUGAUCUUGGUUUUUAUGCAAUAUGCUCACUCUGUCAUUUUACCUUGGAGGACAAAAUAAUAUACAGAACUAAAAGUUACAAAAGCAACUACAGUGAGCAAUUUGUUAGUAUCCACUUAAAAAUGUUAAUAGCCCUCACUAUGAAAGAUCUUUGUGGUUAAUCAUCUAAUAUGAUUAAUUCUAAAAAAUUCAUGAUUUUAAGAAAGUGUUUCAAAUUUUGCAAUUAAACUGAAGACAUGUACUAGGUAAAGACAUCUAGAGGGUGAUCAGAUGUUUAAAUUUACUGUAAAAAUAGGAAGUAAACUAGAUCACAAAGCAAGUACUCAAAAUCACAUGGAAGCCUGCCCAUUUAGCAAAUAUUUGAGUAGCCAAUUUGCACAAAUGUUGUAAGUGACCUAUCAUAUUAAACACAACUCCUCAUCUCCUUCCCAUAUAUUUUAUGCCAGUAAACCCAGAUAACUGCCAAAGGCUCCCAUCAUCCUUUUUAAAUAAACUUUAGAAAGUAGUAUGUCAAGCUGGGAGCUUUGACAAUCAUGAAAUGUUAUCUCAAUCUUCAAAAUUUUAACUUCUUUCAUGAACAUGACAAUAAAAAGUAGUUAACGUCAUUACAGCUUUGCAGUCAGAAUCCCACAAACAUGACAGUGUACUUAGAAAAAAAAUUCAAACUAGCUGAUGACAAAAUAUUUGGAUAACUAUCUGAAUCUAUAAAUAACUAAUUCAUCCUAAAAGGAUCUUUAGAGCAGCAACAAAUUAUUUUAUAAAAUCUAGGACACAAUAUGUGAGUCAGAUCAUUCACUUUUGUUCCUGGUGCAAUGUGGGUUAUGAAAAUCUGAUAAAUUUGUACUUCUUUGAAAAUUGCCAGCUCAGUCAAGAAUUUCCCUUAAACCAAAAUAGUGACUUGAGACAUACACAAAAAUAUAUUCUUUAGGUAGAAUAAAGAGUUCAGAUCUACAUUUUGCUCUCUCAAGCCCACAAAAAGUAUCUCCCAAAGAUGCUGCCUUAUAUCUUGAAUAAUUCCUAAAUAAAAAAUUGCCGAUUUACUUGGAUAAGAGAGCCCUGGAUUAGGUGUGAACAAGGAGUAAGAGAGCUACCUAAAAAUAUCACAGAUCUUUGCAAAUCCUCUUUCUGUUACACAGAAUGUCAGCAUGGCCCUUGCAUUCAAACAAAUGCAAAAAACUAAAGACCAUUAAGUAAACUGUAAGCUCUUUUUGCAAAAAAUAACUUUAGCUUUCUUUGUAAUUCUUCCAAAGACUAACAUGGUGCCACUGUGAGCUUCCUACAUACACUGAUCAAAUGGGUUUUACCUUCCCCCACCCAGGAACAAAUGAAGAAGAAGAAUAUCCAAAAGACAACAUCAGAAAGAUGCUCCGGUUUUCUGGGUAUUUAAUUAAUAUCCACUUUUCUGGAUAUUUAAAACUGUUCAUUAAUAAAACUAUUUAUAUGCUCUCAUCUAUAGAGAGCAGUUAAUAGUGACUAAAAUCUCACUACCCAGAAAUAACUUCAAUAUUUGGUGAAUGUCUUUCUAAGCAUCUAUGUUCAUACAAAAACAUAGAAAAAUUUUUAAAUAGAAUAAUUCUAUAAAUGAUGGCUUUAAUAACAAAUAAAGAAAAAAGUGAAGUGAAAGGGAAAAAUGGACUUCUGAGAACUGUUUCCUCACUGAAUUGUUAGAAUUCCUUAAAAAAUCCUUUAAAUUUAUUUAAGAAAAAAAAUACUAUGAAAGAACUAGAAGUGGCUGAAGUCCGUGCUUAAAAAGCAUCUCUUGAAAGCAGAAGGAAAAGGAUAUGCUGACACAUCAGUGGUCCUGCCUACCACUUCCCUUUUUCUCCAGUCUUCAGUAGUUUAUGUAUGUGUGUGGGCACACUUAUGUAUGUUUUUACACUUUCAGGAUUUAUAACAUUCAACCACAUAUCUAGAUUUCCAUAAUUGUUUAAUCUUAGCUAUUUUUAUCAAGUGUUUUAUUUGGAUUCUUCUUUUGCUAAUAAUAAUUAUCAUGGGUGCUCCAGUCCCUAAAUUCUUACCUGCUUUAGAAUGUUGUCUUUAUAUAUGAAAGAUAACUUGCCUAUGAAUGAAAUUCUUAGAUCAAAUUUUUUUUUGCCCCUGGAAACUAAUAGGCACAGCCCCACUGUUCUCUGUCAUUAAGUGUUGCUUUGAAGAAGUUUAAGACACACCUGGUUUUCUCCUUUAUCAGACUUAAUUUCUCAGGCAUCUCUAAGAUGCCCAAGUAAUUUUAUCCUUAAAUACCAGAAAUUACAUUAGCAUAUGUUUUGGUGUUGAUUAUUUUGUAUUAAGUUUUCUCACAUAUAAAGGGCCUUUGGCAAUAUACAGAUCAGAUCUUUCUUUAGGAAUGUUUUCUUAUAUAUUACAUCAUUUUUCAUUCCAUUUGUUCUGCUAUUCAGAAAUUUUUUGGUUGUUGAACCUCCUUUGUCUGCUAUAUCUAUCAUUUCCUUUAUAAUAAAUUUUAUAGUUUUAUCCUAAUUUGGUUUGUGAGAUUUAUCUUCCACAAUUUAAUUUCUCAAUUCUGAUCCCCAUGACUUUAUUUUCAGGAGUAUACAGUUGAACAACACAGAGGUUAGAGGCACAAAUCCCCGCAAAGAGCUGAAAAUUCAUAUGUAACUUUUGACUCCCCGAAAACUUCAUGAAAGCCUUACCAAUUAUAUGAACAGUCAAUUAAUGUGUAUUUUGCGUAUUAUAUGUAACAUAUACUGUAUUAUUACAAUAAAGGAGGCUAGAGAAAAUAUUAAGAAAAUUAUAAGGAAAAGAAAAUACAUUUAUAGUAUUAUAAAAAAAAGUGGUUUGCACAGUUCAAAUCCAUGUUAUUGAAGGGUCAACUAUAUAUUCUAAUUUUUAUUGCCUUUAAGGGGGCUUCCAAGUCUAUAAUGAUUUCUACUUUUUCCAUUUUUCCCGAGUUAUCCAGCUCAGUUUUCAUUUUAUGUCAUUGUACCACUUUUUUGAAUUGUCCUUUGAUUGUUUUCAAGAGGUCAUGUUGUCUGUAAUUUCUUUGAGACUCUGGAGAAUUAUUUUUUUGAACACUUCCUGUGUUUCUCUGUGCCAUCCUUCGUCCAAUGCAUACUCUUCAUUUGUCUUUCAUUUUCCCUUUUUCCCCAAGUUUUAUGUGUAGGUCAUAGUUGGGUUUUUCAUGCUGAUAAGGUAAACUUUCUUAAGGACAGGCUAUUACUUUUUGUUGUUUAUUUGUGCUCUGGCUUCUUCAAGCCUCUCUGAAAUUAAUAUAUAAUCUGAUUAUCAUCAAGAGUUCUUCUAAUACUUGCAUCAAGAAUAUCUUGAGGUCAGUGUUAACAACCUUUCAUCCAAUGCUUCAGUGUUUCUCACACAUCAAAGGUUUCCCAAAAACUCCUACCAUGGGCUGGCUGAUUCUCAUCUCUCUUCUUUUCUCAAUGCUUAUCUAUCACACUCCUUCAGGCUCCUCUGAAAGUCUAAUCACUGUUCAUCAAACAUUUGUGGGCUAACCUUUCACUCCACUUCUGUCUCCAAGUGACAUGUGAUGUUUGUGAAAACAGUUUUAGGGCAUUAAUACACCUCUGGAAUGGAGGACUAAGCAAAGGAUCAAAUUGACUCUAUUUUAUUAAAUACCACGUUGCUGUUCUUUUUUGGUUAGAGAAGUGGAGAGCGUAUUUUAAAGGUAGUGUCCUUCUUAGUUCUUUAUUUUGACAUGGUUAUAUGUUUUUGUAUCAGGGAUUAUCGUGUUUCUUUUACUCUCCAAUUCAGAUAUUGAGUCAGCAAUGUUCUUUUCUCCUAAUUAGGUUUUAGUUAUAUCUAGGGGCUCCCUAGGUGCCUGUGGCCAAGAACUCUAAUAUAAAUAAAAAUGCAAUAUAAUUUUCUGUUCUAUUAUAAUUAUCAACUGAGUUAAACCUACUGAGAUGACUAUUAAGCUGCAACACAAACUUUGUGAAAUGUGUGGUCCCUGAAAACAUUUUUUACCUCAGUCCUAAAACGACCCAAGUUGUCAGAAAGGGGUAAGCUUACGUAUCACCUUCUUUUUAAAAGCAUACUUUCCCAGACCUUCAGAACUUUUCCAAGCCACUCUGCCCUGGCUGUAGUCUGCCCUAAUUAUCUUUGGCAGUGAAGGAAACUAAGAGGCAUCUCCUCAGCUCCUGCUCCUCAUCUAGAGUGUUGUAACUGAAGACAGAGGCAGAUAAAGGACUAUUCUUCUAACUAGAACGAGUUUGGCUUGAGUUAUUUUAUUUUUUCAAGUAUUAUAUUCUCAAGUAUCCUGCAAACAUUCUUUCCCUGUAUUUCUGUGGUGCCCAAACAAACAGGAACAUCAUAGAUAAAAGGGGGUUUUAAAACAAUAACCACAACAUGGUAAGUAAAUAAUAACAUAUUGCAUAUUUGAAAGUUACUAAAAGAGUAGAUCUUAAAAUUCCUCAUCAUGAAAAAAAUUUUGUAACUAUGUAUGAUGACAGAUGUUAACUAGACUUAACUGUGUGGCGAUCAUUUGGCCAUGUAUACUAGUACUGAAUCAUGUUGUGCACCUUAAACUAACAUGUUAUAUGUCAACUGUACCUCGAUAAUAAACAAUUAUAACAGGCUAAGGAGACAUACUGUUUUCACGACUGACAAAACUGAUAGCAUUCGUCCACUUUUGUGUCUCAUCUUUCAUGUACUUCCACAAUAUAGGGAGGCUCCAAGUAAAACACUUCUUUGCUUUACAAUCAGGCUGAACUUAUUCCUUAAAUCCAAACUGUGGCUUCCAUGUUUUAUGCUAUAUUAUGGUCUAUGAUAUUAGUAUUAAAUCAAAUCAGACAUAAACAAUUAUAGCCAUUGACAGUUAAUCGUCAUACAAAGCUAUCAAAUAUGUAAGUCCAUAUAGUUCAUGGUAUUUUUUUUAAAAACUAAGAAUAUCUAAAAUAUUUACAAAACAAAUGGUUUUUAGUAGCUCUACUGGUUUGUAAUACUGUAAUGUACUUUAUUUUCCAGCAUAAUUAAUACAUUUUAAAUAUCUGUUUCAGCUCAAGACUUAAAAUAUUAACAAAUAUUCUUUCAGGGAAAAUAUCAUUAAAGCAAGCUUAGAAACUCUAAAUCAGAGUAACAUUUUACAGACAAACUGCAGUUAAGUAAAACAAACAAAUAAACAAAAUAACAGGCCUCAUGUAAUUUUGCUUACAGGGAAACCCAUUCCAAGAUUCUAAUGAGCAUUCCAAGCACACAGUGAGAGAGAACCCUUAUCUUUGUGAAUGACUUCAAAGUAUAAAGCUUGGGUCUGAAUUAACUAACAUCUAUUAUUCAACAGUUCAGUUCGACAGACAUUUACUAUACAUAUAGCACAAGGCACUGAGUUAGGUGGUAUGAGGUAUAAACAGACAUAGAAGACAGGCCUCAAGGAGUGAACAAGCCAGUAACUAGGAGAUAAAGCAUGCGUACAGGUCACUGCAAUAGCAGACAGAAAGUGGUGAUGCUAUGAAAGGUAAAAACGAAAGGCUGGGUUAGCAGAGAAGCCGGAAGAUUCACUUUUAGCUGGGAGUUAAUGGACAAGGCUUUGUGUAGGAGGGAGCAUUUGAGUUGAACUUCAGAGGAUAGGAAAGAUGGGGCAGGGACCUAGGAAGGGCACAGCAUGAUCAAAGUCUUGCAAAUGUGAAAGGAGUAGAGAGGUUUUGAACAAAUGGAGCAUAGCUUGUCCAUGGGAAGACGUGUUAAGGUUGGAAAGAAGCUAAUGUUUACACCUGAAAAUGGAUUGGGGUUUAUUCACAUAAGAAAAAGUGGUUUUCCAUGUUCCCUGUGCAUUCAGAAUCCCUCUGGGGAUCCAGUUAAAAUUCCAGUUCCAAGGCCCAUCCCAGAUACUGGUCUGUGCAUAUGCAUUUUCAGUGAGCACUCUAGAUCACUCUGAUCUGUGGUCCUUAGAACCACACUUUGCGAAAUACCUGUGUAGGACCUGGAAAGCAGUUCUUCUGAAUUUAGAAUAUAUUUUUAGGUAAUAGAAACUUUGCAUGUUUUUUGAACAGGGAAAAUUUGGUUACAGAAACUCUGGUUGUUUCGAUUUAUUUAUGGCACUAAAUAUUUUUUUCUAUUAUGAAAGCAGAUAAUGAGCCCUUAAAAGAAUAUUGAUAAAAUGUAAUCUCUCUCUCUCUCUCUCUUUCUCUCUCUCUCUCUCACACACACACACACACACACACACACACAAACAGCCUACACCUCCAGAUGUAAGAAAUUUCUCUUCUACCAAAAAGAGUGUUCAGAAAAUAAGCUGUGCAAGCCCAAGAAUUCUGCAGAGUUUGAAGUGUCUGUAUUCAGAAGCAGCGUGAAACAUCAAAUGCUCUGCACAUCAGUAGGUUUGGGUAGAAGAGAAAUUUAAAUAAGGGAUGAACUACGCUGUGAAGCAGUAAGAAGGACUUCUAUGUAAUCUGACCUGUCAGUGUUAAGUUGAAAAGGGGUGUGCUCAUGCUUACAUAAAUCUUCAUGCUGGUUUUACUAAUUAACAUGUGUAAAAAUCAUAGGAAAAUUUUCCACAGGAGAAGGUGAUGCCUCUCCUUACCCCUUUAUAAUUCAUUUUUCUUCUAAGCUUUUUUAAUGGUGGCUGGAAUCCUGCAGUAGGAAUCACAUUCUUGAUUUUUUGACAGCAUUGCCACAUUUUCAUCCUUUUGGUGUUUCUUAAUUUCCGACUCUGCAUUUUGACAGCUCAACCCUGUUGAUUAAUGCCUUGUAGGAACCCCUAUAUGGCCUGCCUGUUAGCGAUCUAAUUUUGUGCUGGAAUGCCUGGGCUGGUAUGUUGAACCGAUUCACCACCCAGGUGGCUACAUUUGGACUAAAUGAGCUGUGAAGGGUUUCAUCUUUGCCCAUCACAGUCUUCCUUAGCUGAGCCCCACAGUAUGCAGCCACCGCUUCGACAUGAUUUGUCACAACCCAUCAAUAGAAAAUAAAUUAUUGCCAUUCUCACUUGUCAAUGGGCUUGUCUUCACUUCGGCUGGCCUAAUGAUUGGAAGCUCAAAGGGAACAUUUCCCAUCUUUGUGGAGCAUGAUUAUGACCGAAUGCACUGCUCCCCUAUGCAUCUUGGCCAGUAAAAACACGUAGGGAAAGCAAAUUAAUUGGCUGUUUUGCGCCAGUGAUUAGAACAUUACGCUCGAAGUCUGCAGAAACUGAUAUUAGGCAAGCAAGAUUAGGUCGGUUCUGACUUUUAUUUGCUUAGUGCAACAUGAUUAGCAACUGUUUCAUUCAAGGUUAGUGCUCUUGCUGCUGAAGAAAAUCUUCAUAACAUAAUGAUGCUGCAUACCUUUAAGCUGAUAAGCAUGUUCCAGGCAGAAAUCAAAAAUCUCUUUGGGAAAGGAAGCAAAUGAGGAGAUGUAACAGAGAACUCAUCAAAUGGCUUUAGAGCCAUUCUUAUGUCUGGCACUUUUGAAAAUUAUAUUCCUAGGAAACCCGCUCUGCAAGCUAUAUUUGCAGAAUGUAGAGAUGGUAAUUGUGUCAGUUCACGAGACAAAGAAUAAAAGUACCCAAGGAGCAACACGAAGUAGAAGGUGACACCUUUCAAUGAACUAACUAAAAAUGAGCUUGCUUUAAAAGAAACCGAAACUCUUCUUUUUUACAAACUACAGAAAGAGCAGGAAGAGCAAAGGAUACAAUGGCAGGGCAUCAAGUUAGACCUCAUAAUUAAAUUCAGAGAUACAGGAGAUCAAAGAGGAAACUGUAUUUAAAAAAUUAGGUCUAGGGUGUGGAUUUGAGUUUCCCAGUUAACAGCUUUGCCUGCAGUAUAAUGACAAGAGGCUUUAUCUAACAGAACAAUACACAAGGAUGCGGUGUACAAGUAAAAGAAUGCCUGACACUUUAAUUAUUUUAAAUAUGGUGUUGUUUUAGAUUUGGGCCAUGUCUACAAAACUAAGCAGUUUUUUACGAUUGCCCUAUCUUAUCUACCACCACCACCUAGGAAUGAGAGAGGGAAACAUACUGUGAAUGAAAAUCAGAAUGUGAGUUCCCAACUUCCAUUCUCUCUGGCCUUCUUAGUAAAUCUUUUGCCAUCUCAUUGUUUGUUCUUUAGCCCAGAGACAGAUGCCCCAGGAGUACAACUAAAUCUGCAAAGGAUACACACUUUAGAAAUACUAUUAAGUGUACUUUCAUGUUUGUUUAAUGUAGCUCAGGUCUCACCUCUGCCACAGAACUUGACGCCUGUGGUUUAAGAACACUAAAAUGCUUCUGCUCAGUACCAACAGAACCGAGGGAUGCAGGGAACUUUUUCCCUACAUCAUAAAUAUUUUUGUUUACCAAACCUUUAGCAUUUUCUUCCUCUUUUCCUAGCAUGAGUUACUGCCUUCUGAUCUUUGGAGACAUAAGGUUCUUGAGCUCCCAAGUCAACCUCUUUGUCUUCCAGAUUAAGGUCACAUGUCAUCUUGGAGAACUCCUCCUUUCACAGGAAUAUGAAUGUUUUCUAAUGGGAGGCAUUUAAAAUGCCUUAGUUGAAGACUGAUUCAAAGAAAAGCUCUCUUUUGGAUUCAUCUCAACAUCUAUCAGACAAUCGACAUCUUUGAAGGAGACUUGACAUGAAGGCACAAAAGUCACCCUGUGUCAGCUGGGCCAACCUAUGGACAUCUGCACCCCAGCUUUUGUGGACACGGUUCUUACUUACACUGUGGGAUGGUGAGGUAUCUAAGGUUCAAAGUGUUCAAAGUGUGGAUCCAAGUAUAGAAGAUUUUGAAAAACCAAAGAAAGCAAUAAAAUGCAAGAACUGCAACAUACAAGUGGAAGAACGAUAAACUGAUGAAUUUUAGCGUGUUGCUAAAAUGCCAAAGAUUACCAGAUAAGAAGCAGCUUGAUAACGAUCAUUUAAAAUCAAUCACCCUUCCCAAAGAAACGUUAAGAAGCAGACAACAAAAGACCCUCCUACAGAAGACUGUUUUGAGAAUUCAUCAGCUGUAAUUGUGAAAUCACUUCUUUAACCUGAUCAGAAAAAUCCUGCUAUGAAAUAAACCCCAGCUGACCAGA